GUGGAAAUGACCCGUCAUCGCCCACCCAACAGGAAGCUAAACGACGAAAAACGGAGUGCAGCAGCUUUGCACUUGGUCAAAACGAUUUCUGGUUGCUUACGACGAGAAGAGAAAACAAAAGGAAGUCGACAUGGGAGGCACUUCAUCUGUUCCAGCCGGAGCUAUGCUUUAUCCAUCCCCUGCUGCGACCACGAUUGGUUAUGACGUAAACCCGAACAUCAACAUCCUGGCUCCAUCUCCUGGAGCAGGGCCAGCUGGAGCUGCUUUAGCACCUGCAAGCCCUAGCGCUGCUCCCCCACCCACCCCUGGCCAUGUGAUGUCCCUGUUCUGAGUCCUCACAAUGGAAUCUCCUCAAACCUGUUCACCAUUUUCAAUGGCCUGUUCUCAUUACAAAGAAAACAUUACAAGCUAAAUUCAAUGGAAUCGUUUUGCUAAAGAAAAUGUUAUGUGGUAUUUUUGUGUGAAAGUCCACAAAUAAAAAAUGAGACUUA